GCCGGGAUGCUGUAAUUGGUAGCCAGGCACGCUUGAGGUGCGUGUGUCGUAAGACGUGGAGGUUCGAGUCCUCUUCCCGGCACCC
rnacentral:tRNA from 1 species